GACAGAUGAUGAAUCCAUGUAAGGUCUCGUUCGUCUGAGUGAAAAGCUCUCGCGCUUUUCCUGACGACAACGAUUUAUAUCACCACCCAUAGACUGAUGUC
rfam:Selaginella moellendorffii unplaced genomic scaffold SELMOscaffold_79, whole genome shotgun sequence.